CACCACAGAUCAAGGAUUCUCUUGCCACCAGAAUUCUCUUUGCAGUAGGCACUCCCCCUCCCAGCCCUCUGUCCGCAGCUGUUACAACUCUGGUCUUCCCAGGGCCUGGACAUGCCCCUUUGCAGGAUUCAGUGGCACCACGUUGGCUGACACUUGAGGAAUUCACCUUUGGUCCCUACGUGCUGAAGGUAGCAUUAGAUUGGACACUGGGACUAGAGGGCAGCAGCAUAACCCCGGCCCAUCCCAGUCGUCAGAGUCAGCUUGGAGGACUCCAGAGGAGGUUGGAGCUGAGCGCUUGAAUCUAGAAGAGGGACACUAUUCAGCCCACGAAACCCUUUAAAGAGCCCUUGUGCCCAGCACAACGUGGGCAGGAGGCUGACAGCAGUAAGAAUUCACUUCAUGUUUGCUGGGUGACUGACAGCCAAUUCUCUGCUGUCAGCACUAAAUAGAAGCUCUGCAGUGGCAGCUCUGGCUCCUCCCUUCACACUGCCUCGCUACCCCUGCGCUGAGCAAGCAGCCUCCUCAGGCAGGCUCACCUGCCACCGGCCUGUGAGCUCCUCAGCAGCUCAGCUUGGAAGGAGUCUGAAGAAAGAGGUUUGCUUGGUUUUGUUCUGUGCGGAUAUGGUUGGGUGAUUCUAGCAACCAGGUGCAGGCCCCAGGACAAAUCUUCAGGACACAUCAACAUAGGUUACAACCCACUCACCCACAACACACACAUAUUCACACACACACACACACACACACACACACUUAAUGAGCAACUACUGUGUGUAACGUUAAUGAGAGCAUUAAAAGUGGCCGAGAAUAAUCACAGAGGGGACGAUACGCCAAUAUGUCAACUAAGAGUAAGAUGCAGCCUACUGGAAAAUGGAAUUUUCUUUAGAGAAAUUGCCAGAGACCCAAUAGAAUCUCUCUUUAAGUACUCUUCUAAAAGCAGCAUGACAUACUGUAAAGAACAAGUCCUGGGUUUUUGUGUGAGCUUCUCUGCUUACUAGCUGGGUAGUUUGGAGAAAGUUAUUUAAAUUUUCAGAGUCUCAGUUUCAUUAUCUGCAAAAUGGUGAUGAUAAUGACUUCCUUGUGGGAUAAAAGUGAGGUAAUGUAUGUAUUACUCACUGCAGGGAGCGAGAAUGCAUACAACGGAGAAUCAGGGGGUGCUUCAGGAUUGGGACUUAAAGUGAUUUCGGGGAGGAUUUAAGGAAGUGGGGCUUUGCUCUGGACUGGAUGCUAUCAGGAAGCGGGAGUAAUUCUCUAAUUGGG
rnacentral:lncRNA from 1 species